CUCGUGUCUGUUCAGUAGGCUACUGUGUAACAAAAUCCUUUUGAAUGGACGAGACAAAAGUAGACAGUAGUUUUCCCAGACUAAUGGAGAAGGAGGAGUUUUCACAAUGGGAAGUAAAGGAGGUCGUUGUGUAACUUGCGCUGGGAAUGUUCGCUCAGCUGUUCAAGCAAGCCACGCACCCCUCUGGAACAGUUCUCACAGGAAUUUUACAUUGUCCAGAUUCAGUAGUGAUCAACACAGAGGCCUUUCGUGGUGGACCUUUCUAUAAAACUCAGGGCUGUGGACCGACGAAACCUUUACGCAACACUUGGAUUGUUUUUUAAUAUUUUUUUAAAGAUUGUUUAUAUUGACUACUGUUUCGACAGGACGAGAAUCUCGAGAAACGACUGGACAAAAACAAAGUUCCUACAUGCUUAAUUUUGUUUCAAAUACGCUUUGAUUAAUGUCGGGGUUAUACUGACCAACGUAAUAGGCCUACCUCUCCUCUUUUCUUAUGAGAAUGGGAAGCACAGCGAUGGAGGGGAGGCUGUCUAACAUUUUACAGAAGUAUCAACAACGCCUUUAACAUGGGGAGCGGGAACAGCAGAGGGAAAAAGGUUGCACCUGCAUCCGAAACUGACGCUGACGAUGUCAAUACUGAUUCUGUCCCAGCCGACGGGAACAACAUAAGCUUGGUAGAGCCAUUUAGAGUUACGGCAUGUACUAACUUAAGUUUGGUUCGUAAAAAGACUCGACCCGACUGUCAGAGCGAAGGGCAAAAUUCCGAAUGGUCCACUGACUUAGAAGGUGAGCUGGAUGAGAUGAAUGCCGAAUCCGACGGAAAGGAAAGUAAUGCAAACAAAAGAAGUUCUGUUAAGAAACAAUUCUUCAGCUCAAAAACAUUUGGCCUGUGCAAUUACAUACGGGUGCAAAAUGAUAAGCAUGUGGCCUCAACUCACCAAUUGUCAAAUGCCGGACUCCGUAGUGGAUCGUGCUCUCAUGCACAAUCUGAAAUGAGCGUAAAAGAAAAACAAGUCUCCAACAAGCCUUUGGGGAAAAUCUCAUGUGCCAGCACAAGUCAACACCAAGGUUGGUUGGUCAACGUGUGUCCGGUAACACAAUCCGAAGAUGCAGCAUUAGUUCCAGACAAUUGUACUGGCCCAUCUCUCAACAAGUCUGUAAUCUUGUAUGACGCCACAGAAGAGGACCUCAUGAAAACUAUUGAGAGAGAAUUUAGUUAAACUUAUAACUGAAUUGCAUAUUAGAACAAAGAGCAAAAUCCCCUUGCCUAACUGGUAACCCAGCCAAGGUCCUGUUUAAUUGUAUGUGUUGCAUCAUUGAAUGAAGAUCAUAUUACAACAA